rnacentral:snRNA from 1 species
AUACCUUUCUCGGCCUUUUGGCUAAGAUCAAGUGUAGUAUCUGUUCUUAUCAGUUUAAUAUCUGAUACGUGGGCCAUAGGCUCACAUGAUAUUAAAUUAAUUUUUUAAAGGGGAGGGUCCACCACAGUAGCUUGCUACUGGGCCCCUCGCUCGUCGCCCAGGCUUUACACUACCGCUCGGGCCCGGCGAACCCCUC